CAACCUGCCUUUAUCAGGGAGAUAGCCUUUCGAAAUGAAGAUUAAUACCCCAUAACAUAUUAAGUGGCAUCACUUGAUAUUGAAAACUACGGUGGAUAGAGAUGGGCACGCGCAAGAUUAGAUAGUUGGUGAGGUAACGGCUCACCAAGUCUACGAUCUUUAGGGGGCCUGAGAGGGAGAUCC
rnacentral:rRNA from 1 species